rnacentral:rRNA from 2 species
CGGUGGAGUAACCUUUUAGGAGCUAGCCGUCGAAGGUGGGACAGAUGAUUGGGGUGAAGUCGUAACAAGGUAGCCGUAUCGGAAGGUGCGGCUGGAUCACCUCCUUUCUAAGGA